rnacentral:rRNA from 1 species
GAUGAACGCUGGCGGCGUGCCUAAUACAUGCAAGUCGAGCGAACAGACGAGGAGCUUGCUCCUCUGACGUUAGCGGCUGACGGGUGAGUAACACGUGGAUAACCUACCUAUAAGACUGGGAUAACUUCGGGAAACCGGAGCUAAUACCGGAUAAUAUAUUGAACCGCAUGGUUCAAUAGUUCAAGACGGUUUUGCUGUCACUUAUAGAUGGAUCCGCGCCGCAUUAGCUAGUUGGUAAGGUAACGGCUUACCAAGGCGACGAUGCGUAGCUGACCUGAGAGGGUGAUCGGCCACACUGGAACUGAGACACGGUCCAGACUCCUACGGGAGGCAGCAGUAGGGAAUAUUCCGCAAUGGGCGAAAGCCUGACGGAGCAACGCCGCGUGAGUGAUGAAGGUCUUCGGAUCGUAAAACUCUGUUAUUAGGGAAGAACAAAUGUGUAAGUAAAUAUGCACGUCUUGACGGUACCUAAUCAGAAAGCCACGGCUAACUACGUG